AAAAGACAAGUUGCUGUCUAAUAUAAUACCCAGAUUUUUGACUCUAGAGGAAGUAACAGUACAUUCGUCUAGUUGCAAAUUGUAAUCCAAGAGAUUCUGUGUACUGUUUUUU